UGCCGCUGCCGGAUCUGGCGGAGGGGAGGGCUCUGCCGCCGCCGCCGCCUUCCCUCCCGCCAGAUCUGGCAGAGGGA
rnacentral:pre_miRNA from 1 species